UACGGGGGGGGCAAACGUUGUUCGGAAUUACUGGGCGUAAAGGGCUCGUAGGCGGCCAACUAAGUCAUACGUGAAAUCCCUCGGCUUAACCGGGGAACUGCGUCUGAUACUGGAUGGCUUGAGUUCGGGAGAGGGAUGCGGAAUUCCAGGUGUAGCGGUGAAAUGCGUAGAUAUCUGGAGGAACACCGGUGGCGAAGGCGGCAUGCUGGGCCGGCAUUGACGCUGAGGCGCGAAAGCCAGGGGAGCAAACGGG
rnacentral:rRNA from 1 species